rnacentral:sRNA from 1 species
CGUCGUUCUUCUUCUUGUUAC